CUGGUUUGCCUGCGGGCAAUUAAAACGGGAAGUCUGGUGCAGAGCCUUUAACGAUAUUUAAUCCAGAAGGUUUUAAGUCCAGCACUGUCCUCGCAACUGUAAGCAGAGAGCGUUCGUACAUAUCGUCACUGUCAAUAGUAUGGGAAGACGUACGCACGCAUUGACCUGUAAGUCAGGAGACCUGCCAGUCA
rnacentral:ncRNA from 1 species